rnacentral:rRNA from 1 species
GACGUAGGGGGCCAGCGUUGUUCGGAAUUACUGGGUGUAAAGGGUUCGUAGGCGGUGCGGCAAGUUGGGAGUGAAAUCUCUGGGCUUAACCCAGAGGCUGCUUCCAAAACUGCUGUGCUUGAGUGUGGGAGAGGCGCGUGGAAUUGCAGGUGUAGCGGUGAAAUGCGUAGAUAUCUGCAGGAGCACCCGUGGCGAAAGCGGCGCGCUGGACCACUACUGACGCUAAGGAACGAAAGCUAGGGGAGCAAACAGG